rnacentral:lncRNA from 1 species
AUUGGCUUACUAGGAAGAUCAUGGGCCGAUGGACUGGGGAUGUGCCUUCAUUUUGUCUUGAUUUUAUUUUUCAGACAGGGUUCUACUACGUAGUUGUGGCUGUCCAUGUAGACCAGACUGGCAUGGAGCUCACAGAGGCCCCCCUGCCUCUGCCUCACCAGGGAUAGGGUUCGAGGCACAUGCUACUGUGCAGUUUAUUUUUUUAGGACAAGGUCUUGCUAUGCACCACAAGCUGGUUUUGAACUAUCAAUCCUCCCUUCGGAGUGUUGGGAUUUCAGGAGUUUGCCACCAUGCCUAAGGGUAGAAGAAUGUGUCUUGAGAAGUCUUAGGAUCAACAGUAAAAGUACAGGUAGCUGGAGAGAUGGGCUACUCUGGAUCGUCUCUUAGACCAGAUGCUGGAGGCCCAGAGAGGACGAGACACUUGCUCAGGGACUGGGGUCUUCGCAGCAUUCAGACUCCACCAGUUUCAGCCACAUGCUUCACCAGUUCAUCCUAACGUCCUGGCAGACCCUUGGUAGAACCGUGACCUGAUUCUGUGGGAAGCUAAUUUUAUUUGAGACAGGAAUACCUGCAGUGCAUUGGGGAACACCCAAGCUGAUGAUCCCCAGUCCCAGAUGCCCACAUGCCCUUCAGGAGGGAGCAGCUACAGGAUGAAUGAGCUGAGUUGUGUUGCUGAGGAGACCCCUACCCACCCACUGAUUAGUUUAAAGAUAGCUUCCCUUCCUCCUCCUCCUCUCCCUCCUCCUCCUCCUUCUCCUCUCCCUCCUCCUCCUCCUCCCCCUCCUCCUCCUUCUCCUCUCCCUCCUCCUCCUUCUCCUCUCCCUCCUCCUCCUUCUCCUCUCCCGCCUCCUCCUUCUACUUCUUCUUUGUUGUUGUUGUUUUGUUUUGUUUUUCCGAGACAGGGUUUCUCUGUAUAGUCCUGGCUGUCCUGGAACUCACUUUGUAGACUAGGCUGGCCUCGAACUCAGAAAUCCGCCUGCCUCUGCCUCCCAAGUGCUGGGAUUAAAGGUGUGCACCACCACUGCCCAGCCCUUCUUCUACUUCUCCUUCUCCUCCUCCUUCUGUUCUCCCUCUUCCUCUUCCUCCUCCUCCUCUUCUCCUCCUCCUCCUCCUCUUCCUCCUUUUCUCCUUCCUCCUCCUCCCCCUCUUCCUCCUCUUUCUUCUACUUCUCUCCUCCUCCUCUUACUCCUCCUCCUCCUCCUCCUUCUUCUUCUCUCCUUCUCCUCCUCCCCCUGCUCCCCCUGGUCCCCCUCCUCCUCCCCCUCUCCUGAGGUUUUAAUGUAUUCUAAGGGCUGUGGAGCUAAGGGUAGGAGCUGCUGCUUUAUGACUUUAUGUUCUGCUUCUGCUGAGAGACCUGUGGAUAUCUGACUCAACGUAGUUGGCUUCAUUCCGUGCAGGUUGCUACCUCCCUGGCGAUCACACGGUCAUCAUAGUCAUUACUAGCACCCUCACCUUCAGCUCCCAAGGCUAUACCACAUAUUCAAAUCCUGGAGGUCUCAAACGGACUCACUUUGCCUCUGCCUUCACAUGCACAGAUCUUGGGUCAGAUGGACCUUUGGAACCAAACCUGUUCACCUUGAAAGAGGGUGAGCCUAUGGGACUUCCCCAAAGGAGCUCUAGGCUCCCCAGGACAUUCCAUUGCUCUACCUGGGUGGCAUUUGGGUACUUCAAGUGCCAGGGCCUUGGUGACAUGACCCAGCAGUCUCUUCUAACACUACAGGAUCAGCAAUUAAGCUCAUACUUAACAGAUAUGGAG